UACGGAGGGUGCGAGCGUUGUCCGGAAUCACUGGGCGUAAAGGGCGCGUAGGUGGCGCAGGAAGUCAACGGUGAAAGUUCGGGGCUCAACCCUGAAUCGGCCGUCGAUACUCCUGGGCUCGAGCACUGUAGAGGCAGAUGGAAUUCCGGGUGUAGCGGUGGAAUGCGUAGAGAUCCGGAAGAACACCGGUGGCGAAGGCGGUCGCUGGGCA
rnacentral:rRNA from 1 species